rnacentral:rRNA from 1 species
AUUGAACGCUGGCGGAAUGCUUAACACAUGCAAGUCGAGCGGAGAUGAGGUGCUUGCACCUUAUCUUAGCGGCGGACGGGUGAGUAAUGCUUAGGAAUCUGCCUAUUAGUGGGGGACAACAUUCCGAAAGGAAUGCUAAUACCGCAUACGCCCUACGGGGGAAAGCAGGGGAUCUUCGGACCUUGCGCUAAUAGAUGAGCCUAAGUCGGAUUAGCUAGUUGGUGGGGUAAAGGCCUACCAAGGCGACGAUCUGUAGCGGGUCUGAGAGGAUGAUCCGCCACACUGGGACUGAGACACGGCCCAGACUCCUACGGGAGGCAGCAGUGGGGAAUAUUGGACAAUGGGCGCAAGCCUGAUCCAGCCAUGCCGCGUGUGUGAAGAAGGCCUUAUGGUUGUAAAGCACUUUAAGCGAGGAGGAGGCUACUCUAGUUAAUACCUAGAGAUAGUGGACGUUACUCGCAGAAUAAGCACCGGCUAACUCUGUGCCAGCCGCCGCCGUAAAAC